rnacentral:rRNA from 1 species
UGCAAACUACGAAUACCGAAGAAUGUUAUCACGGGAGACACACGGCGGGUGCUAACGUCCGUCGUGAAGAGGGAAACAACCCAGACCGCCAGCUAAGGUCCCAAAGUCAUGGUUAAGUGGGAAACGAUGUGGGAAGGCCCAGACAGCCAGGAUGUUGGCUUAGAAGCAGCCAUCAUUUAAAGAAAGCGUAAUAGCUCACUGGUCGAGUCGGCCUGCGCGGAAGAUGUAACGGGGCUAAACCAUGCACCGAAGCUGCGGCAGCGACACUAUGUGUUGUUGGGUAGGGGAGCGUUCUGUAAGCCGUUGAAGGUGGCCUGUGAGGGUUGCUGGAGGUAUCAGAAGUGCGAAUGCUGACAUAAGUAACGAUAAUGCGGGUGAAAAACCCGCACGCCGGAAGACCAAGGGUUCCUGUCCAACGUUAAUCGGGGCAGGGUGAGUCGACCCCUAAGGCGAGGCCGAAAGGCGUAGUCGAUGGGAAACAGGUUAAUAUUCCUGUACUUGGUGUUACUGCGAAGGGGGGACGGAGAAGGCUAUGUUGGCCGGGCGACGGUUGUCCCGGUU